rnacentral:lncRNA from 1 species
UCAGUAGAGAUGAGACUUUUGCAUCACAUGGUGACCAAACUUUUUGUCCCUAGAAGUGGCAGAUAUGACCUCUUAUCUGGUAGGGAUAUAUGUAUCAUGUACCAUGUGAUCAUCAAGAUCCCCUUGAACCUUUCUACUCUGAUGAUUGAGGCUAUGAGGGAGAUCCUAAAUAGGUCUAAGACUCACCUGCCUUAUAGUAUGGCACUCACCC